GCGGCGUGCUCAACACGUGCACGGUUACUGAAAAUCGCACUUUUGGGAGUUCAGAAAUCGCACUUUUGACAGUUCGCUUAAACGAACUGAAAAAAGUGUGAUUUCGCGAACUCGAAAAACUGUGAAAAUUACCAAAAAACGAGUUCUGUUAAGCGAACUCCCAAAAGUGCGAUUUUGGACUUAGCGAAUUUUUUGAAAUUCGUUUGAAACGUUUCGCCCUAAAUGUUUUUGUUUAUGGUUGAAUUUUGUGCUCCGAAGUUUCGAGUUGGAUUUCAGAUCUUUUUGAUUCCAGCAUGGAUGUGCCUAGGGCCAGACUGGCCCGAACGACAACAUCGCCGCAUCACAGGUUUGCGAUGGGGUUCGCUGAACCGUCCCGUCCUUUCGUAUUAUUUUUAUCACCAUCUGCGAUGGAUCCCUCGUCCCUACAAAGUACGCAUUCCGGACUCGACCACCCUCAAACUGGUGGUGUCAUCCAGGUUUACGGCGCUUCGAAGCUGUUGGCCGGUGAGAACGCGCUGAUAGCCCAGCAGGACAAACACAACGGAGCGCAGUAUGGACUUCAAUCCGUACCAGAUUAAACAGUUGGCCACGGGAGCGUCGGAGUCGGAAAUCUUCAUCUGGGAUCUGAACAUCACGGUGGCGCCGAUGGGCCCAGGAACGCAGGCGCAACCGUUUGAGGAUGGAAGCGACAGGUCCAGCAUAUCCUGGCCUCCGUCUUCAUCUCGCGUUGUGUCAUCUGGGAUCUCCGCUAGAAUGAACCCAUCAUCAAACUGACGGUUGUUGGUCAGUUGGCGCGCCAUCCAGCGGCACCCGGCAGUGGCUACCCAGAUGUGGGUAGCAGAAGAUCGGGCCCCCUCCCUGUAGGAUCUCCGCUACGCGACUGCCCCCACCAAAACAUUCCAGGGUGUCCUCGGUCAUAACUGGUGCUCGAAGGAUUUGUCGCUUCCUGCGGCAAAGACAACAAAAUCAACUGCUGGUACCAAAACUUCGAAGAGCAAAACGAGCAAAUCCUCUCCGAACUCGCGACCACCAACCAGUGGAACUUUGACGUGGCCUGGUGUCCACGCAACCCGGUGCCCAUCGCCGGUUCCAGUUUUGAAGGCAACGUAACAGUUUUUUUUCGAUCAACGGCGGAGCGCACGCCCAGGUGCAGAUGGUGAACAAAAUCGCAGAUUCGUUCCCCGGAAUGGACAGCAUCAGGCACGAGCCGGUUCACCCGUUCGCAGGACAGCCGCAAUCCACCUGCAACGAUCUGAAUCGACCGCCCAAGUGGUUGAAGUGACCAACGGGAGCGUGCUUUGGGUUCGGCGGCAAGCUGGUCACGUUCAACGGAACGAGUCGUACCGUCGUUGAUGAUGCUGUACCGCUGUAUGUGCAACCGGAACAACGCUGAGUAGCGAGCCAGCUGGACCGCGGACAGUGAAAACGAGCAGGAACCAUAGUAGCAACAUCGCGUCUUGGAAGGCGUUCCCAUCCAGGUCAACGGUCACAACCACCGCGUCGAGCGUCUCGUAACGGACGAAACAUGAUUGCCAGUUUCUGUUUACAAGGUCACUUUAAAACGAAUGGCGAACUGCUUGCGGAAAUCCACCGGAACAACUACUUUGACAUGCAACGCAAGGAGGGCCAACGAUCGCCAACGGGACCUAUGCUGAUCAAAGGCAAACCCUCCAACACGAACAUCACCAGAAUGCAGGAAAUCUACCCCGAACGAGCUUCGCCUUCAAGCUGAAAAAGAAGCUUCAGUUCAACUUCACCAGUCCGAACAAAGCCAAGAACCGAAAACCGGCAAGGAUCCGUCCCUCUUUGACUUUGCGGCACAGUACAAGAAGGACUUUACCAGAAGAGUUUAACUCCAUGUUGCACGCACACACUCUCACUUUUAAUUUCUCGAUACUCAUCGUGAUCGGGUGCGCCGACAGGCGGCUCGAGUUCUGGGACAGCACCACCGGCAACUUGAGGGCAUCUACGAGACGGAGCACACCUCCAACAACGGGGUCACCAACAUCAAGCUGACCAGGGACAAGGUUGUGGCGGCCCGGCUCAGCGGCCGCAUCGACUUCCUGCGGCU